rnacentral:rRNA from 1 species
UGGCGGCAGGCUUAACACAUGCAAGUCGAGCGCCCCGCAAGGGGAGCGGCAGACGGGUGAGUAACGCGUGGGAAUCUACCCAUCUCUACGGAACAACUCCGGGAAACUGGAGCUAAUACCGUAUACGUCCUUCGGGAGAAAGAUUUAUCGGAGAUGGAUGAGCCCGCGUUGGAUUAGCUAGUUGGUGGGGUAAUGGCCUACCAAGGCGACGAUCCAUAGCUGGUCUGAGAGGAUGAUCAGCCACACUGGGACUGAGACACGGCCCAGACUCCUACGGGAGGCAGCAGUGGGGAAUAUUGGACAAUGGGCGAAAGCCUGAUCCAGCCAUGCCGCGUGAGUGAUGAAGGCCCUAGGGUUGUAAAGCUC